AAAAUCCGUCAUAUAAGCCGAAGACGUGAUGUGGAGCGAAAUUUAGUAGUGAAGUAUGUGAGCCAUGUGCCGAGAAAAGCCGCUAUUGUUUUAUAUGUGCCCGUACCGUAAACCGACACAGGUGGAUGAGGAGAAAAUCCUAAGGCCGACGGAAGAAGCAUUGUUAAGGAAUUCGGCAAAAUGACCCCGUAACUUCGGGAGAAAGGGUGCCCACUGAAUGGUGGGCCGCAGAGAAUAGGCUCAAGCAACUGUUUAGCAAAAACACAGGUCUAUGCGAAACCGAAAGGUGAAGUAUAUGGGCUGACGCCUGCCCGGUGCUGGAAGGUUAAGAGGAGAGGUUAGCGUAAGCGAAGCUUCGAAUUUAAGCCCCAGUAAACGGCGGCCGUAACGAUAACGGUCCUAAGGUAGCGAAAUUCCUUGUCGGGUAAGUUCCGACCCGCACGAAAGGCGUAAUGAUUUGAGCACUGUCUCGACAAUGCAUCCGGUGAAAUUGAAGUACCAGUGAAGAUGCUGGUUACCCGCGCCAGGACGGAAAGACCCCAUGGAGCUUUACUCCAGUUUGAUACUGGGAUUCGGUACUGCACGUACAGGAUAGAUGGGAGACUGAGAACUAUGGACGCCAGUCUGUAGGGAGUCGCUGUUGGGAUACCACCCCUGUAGUACUGGGUUUCUAACCAUCUGCCGUGAUCCGGCAGUGGGACAAUGUCAGGCGGGGAGUUUGACUGGGGCGGUCGCCUCCGAAAGGGUAUCGGAGGCGCUCAAAGGUUCCCUCAGAAUGGUCGGAAACCAUUUGAAGAGUGCAAAGGCAGAAGGGAGCUUGACUGCGACACCGACGGGUGGAGCAGGUACGAAAGUAGGACUUAGUGAUCCGGUGGUAUAAAGUGGGAUUGCCAUCGCUCAACGGAUAAAAGCUACCCUGGGAUAACAGGCUUAUCACUCCCAAGAGUUCACAUCGACGGAGUGGUUUGGCACCUCGAUGUCGGCUCAUCGCAUCCUGGGGCUGUAGCAGGUCCCAAGGGUUGGGCUGUUCGCCCAUUAAAGCGGUACGCGAGCUGGGUUCAGAACGUCGUGAGACAGUUCGGUCCCUAUCCGGCGCGGGCGGAGGAUAUUUGAGAGGAGCUGUCCUUAGUACGAGAGGACCGGGAUGGACGGACCACUGGUGUAUCUGUUGUCGACCAACGGCAUGGCAGAGUAGCCAAGUCCGGAAGGGAUAAACGCUGAAGGCAUCUAAGCGUGAAGCCCCCCUCAAGAUGAGAUAUCCCUCCUUCGGGAGUAAGACCCCUUGAAGACUACAAGGUAGAUAGGGCAGAGGUGGAAGUGUGGCAACACAUGGAGCUGACUGUUACUAAUAGGUCGAGGGCUUGAUC
rnacentral:rRNA from 1 species